rnacentral:rRNA from 1 species
AGCAGCCGCGGUAAUUCCAGCUCCAAUAGCGUAUAUUAAAGUUGUUGCAGUUAAAAAGCUCGUAGUUGAAUUUUGGAUUCUUCCAAUUGGUCCAUCUUUUAGAUGAGUACUGGUUGUGUGGGGUCUAUCCGCCUGGUGAUACGUAAUGUCCUUUAUUGGAUGUUGCGGGUAGUCAGGACCUUUACCUUGAAAAAUUAGAGUGUUUAAAGCAGGCUUAUGCCGGAAUACAUUAGCAUGGAAUAAUAGAAUAGGACGAAGUUGUUUUAUUUUGUUGGUUUCUAGGACAACCGUAAUGAUUAAUAGGGAUAGUUGGGGGCAUUAGUAUUCAAUUGUCAGAGGUGAAAUUCUUGGAUUUAUUGAAGACUAACUACCGCGAAAGCAUUUGCCAAGGAUGUUUUCAUUAAUCAAAGAACGAAAGUUAGGGGAUCGAAGACGAUCAGAUACCGUCGUAGUCUUAACCAUAAACUAUGCCGACUAGGGAUCGGGCGAUGUUGUUUCCAUGACUCGCUCGGCACCUUAU